rnacentral:rRNA from 1 species
GUUUUAUUGAAUUAAUUUUAAGUCAAAUCUGCUCAAUGAAUUAAUUUUAAAUAGCUGCAGUAUUAAUAACUGUACAAAGGUAGCAUAAUAAUUAGUUUUUUAAUUAAAAACUUGUAUGAAAGAUUUAAUGAAAUAUAAUCUGUCUCAAAUUUAUUUAAUAAACUUUUUUUUUAAAUAAAAAAAUUUAAAUUCUUUUUAAAGACGAGAAGACCCUAAAGAAUUUUUAUUAAAAAAAAUUAAAUUAAUUUAUUUUAAUUUUAAUUGGGGAAAUUUUAAAAUUUAAAUAAUUUUUAAUUAUAUAAACAAUUAUUUUUGUAUAAAAAAAUUUUAUAUUAAAUAAUAAACUAAAUUACCUUAGGGAUAACAGCAUAAUUUUUUUUUUAAGAUCUCAUUUUUAAAAAANUUUAU